UACGUAGGUGGCAAGCGUUAUCCGGAAUUAUUGGGCGUAAAGAGUGAGCAGGUGGUUGUCUAAGUCUGAAGUCAAAUGCAGUGGCUUAACCACUGUUCGCUUCGGAAACUAGGCGACUAGAGUACGAGAGAGGUAUGUGGAAUUCCAUGUGUAGCGGUGAAAUGCGUAGAUAUAUGGAGGAACACCAGUGGCGAAGGCGGCAUACUAGCUCGAUACUGACACUCAGUCACGAAAGCGUGGGUAGCAAAUAGG
rnacentral:rRNA from 1 species